rnacentral:rRNA from 1 species
GGGUGGUAAUGCCGGAUGCUCCGGUUGGAUGCAUGUCCUUCCGGGAAAGAUUCUAUCGGUAUGGGAUGGGGUCGCGUCCUAUCAGCUUGAUGGCGGGGUAACGGCCCACCAUGGCUUCGACGGGUAGCCGGCCUGAGAGGGCGACCGGCCACAUUGGGACUGAGAUACGGCCCAGACUCCUACGGGAGGCAGCAGUGGGGAAUAUUGCACAAUGGGCGCAAGCCUGAUGCAGCGACGCCGCGUGCGGGAUGGAGGCCUUCGGGUUGUAAACCGCUUUUGAUCGGGAGCAAGCCCUUCGGGGUGAGUGUACCUUUCGAAUAAGCACCGGCUAACUACGUGCCAGCAGCCGCGGUAAUACGUAGGGUGCAAGCGUUAUCCGGAAUUAUUGGGCGUAAAGGGCUCGUAGGCGGUUCGUCGCGUCCGGUGUGAAAGCCCAUCGCUUAACGGUGGGUCUGCGCCGGGUACGGGCGGGCUGGAGUGCGGUAGGGGAGACUGGAAUUCCCGGUGUAACGGUGGAAUGUGUAGAUAUCGGAAAAAAAACA